AAAUGUACCACCAGUCCACCACCAUCAUGUGUUGGCACAACCCUUGUGAAACAAUCCUAAAAUAGUGCCCCAUUUUCUAGCUUGAAGUUUAGUUUUCAACAAAGGUUACUGCAUGAUGGUGAAGUUGGUCGAAUUGGAGCACCUAGUGGCAGAAGAUUGGAUAUGGUAUGAUUUCAGAAAGGGCACUGGAGCUGAUUUUACUUCUAGAAGAUGAUUUUCCUUACACUAUUCAUGUCGAGAGUACUAUCACUCAAAGUAAUGGCUCAUCCAGCUGCAUGACCCGAGGUAGCAAGGUUAUUUGGGUUAUUGAGGAAUUAUAGUUGAGACACCGCCAGUAUGAUAUGCCUGCAGGUGCAUCCGAUUAGUUACCAAACUUCAUUUGGCGGUUAGAAAGUAAUAAUUGCUACGAGAAUAGGCAAAUAAAUAUACUAUGAUCAAGCAAUAUUGUCAUAAGGAUCCCAGGUUAUCUAGCAGGGAAGAUCAAGUACAAAGCAUGAAGCAGAUAUGGUGUGCAUUAUGAACCAGCUCAAGUAAAUAAGUACAUAGUGACAGCAACUUCAACAAAAAGGACUGGGUGGGGUGAGGCUUGACCAGCAGUGUGCAUGUGAAGAAUUUGGCCAAACAACUUUGUAGAUCUAGCAAUUCUACUAGGGGCAGUUGAAUAAGCAAAGGUGGUUCAGAUUGUGUGUCUUUCGGCAACGAGGCUUGUGGGAAGAGGAAGCCUAAAAUCGAGCAAUUUUUUUGGGUUUGUACAUUUACUAAAUUACUUCAGAGUUUAUUACGAUAUGCUUUCAACUUUC